rnacentral:lncRNA from 1 species
UGUUGCCGAGAUCAAACACCAUUUCUUUCUCUUUUUUUUUCUUGGUACAGGCAUGAAAAUGCCUAUCGGGACUCUGGUUUUUGUAGUUACUCUAGAAUGUUUAGGUGGCAUCAUGUGAUGUUUUUAUCAUUCAAUCACUAGCAGCCGAUGUCGGGGUUGUCGGGGAUAUCAGUGCUUCAAUUAAUUGGCUUAAGGCAAAUGGUUCCAAGAAGGUUGGCAUGGCUGGAUAUUGCAUGGGAAGUGCUCUCGCUAUUGCAAGUUCUGCCAAAUUUUGCUUCCACCUUUUUUUAACUUUAAAAUUUAUGUGGGCAUUUUAAUUUUUUGACUUGGAGACUCCUUAAUUAAGAAUAAAAUUUUAAUUAGAUGCAUGCCUACGAUAUCUGGAUCCAUAUGAUGUGAGAUGUGUUCUAAGGGAUCAUAUUCGAAGGAAUUAUUUUUUUUCAAUUAACGAAUGAAUGCCAAUGGAAUGAGGUUUACUAAAGAAAUGUGUUUGGUGCCUGAAAACACUUUGAUCUUUGUGAGUAAUUUCCAACACACUGUUGAAUAGUAAAC